GCCUUGGCUCCCGGGGGCGACGAAGGACGCGGUAAGCUGCGAAAAUUUACGGGGAGUUGCAAACGAGCGUUGAUCCGUAAGUGUCCGAAUGGGGCAACCCACUAUGCUGAAGGCAUAGAGACAAUAGUCGCUAACCCCUGAACUGAAACAUCUAAGUAGGGGGAGGAAAAGAAAACAAAAGUGAUUCCGCAAGUAGUGGCGAGCGAACGCGGAAGAGGCCAAACCAGUGGGCGUGCCCACUGGGGGUUGUAGGGCCGCGACAUGGGAUUGCAAAGUUUUAGCGGAACCGUCUGGAAAGUCGGGCCAUAGCGGGUGACAGCCCCGUACGCGAAAGAGACAUGCACCCUAGCGGUACCCUGAGUAGGGCGGGGCCGGAGAAACCCUGUCUGAACCUGGCGGCACCAUCCGCCAAGCCUAAAUACCACCGGGAGACCGAUAGUGAACCAGUACCGUAAGGGAAAGGUGAAAAGAACCCUGAGCAAGGGAGUGAAAAGACCCUAGAAACCGCACGCUUACAAGCGGUAGGACGU
rnacentral:rRNA from 1 species